AUCUCGCGAGAGCCGCGCGGCCCCCGAAGGCUCGCAGGCGGAAGUGAGACGCCGGAAGCGGUCGUUGCCAUGGAUCCUGGGGACGACUGGCUGGUGGAAUCCUUGCGCUUGUACCAGGAUUUCUAUGCAUUCGACCUGUCAGGAGCCACUCGAGUCCUUGAAUGGAUUGAUGACAAAGGAGUCUUUGUUGCUGGCUAUGAAAGCCUGAAAAAGAAUGAAAUUCUUCAUCUGAAAUUACCUCUCAGACUUUCUGUAAAGGAAAACAAGAUUGCUGGUUACCAGUGGCCUUCCAGGUUGUUAUCUGCAGGUGUGGCAGGUUGCAGAGGACAGUGAUGUCAUUAAAGCUGUCAGCACCAUUGCUGUGCAUGAGAAAGAGGAGAGUCUCUGGCCUAGGGUGGCCGUCUUCUCCACAUUGGCACCCGGAGUCCUCCAUGGGGCGAGGCUCCGAAGUCUGCAGGUCGUUGAUCUGGAGUCCCGGAAGACCACGUACACCUCAGAUGUCAGUGACAGUGAGGAGCUGAGUAGCCUGCAGGUCCUAGAUGCAGACACCUUUGCCUUCUGCUGUGCUUCAGGCCGGCUGGGGCUUGUUGACACCCGGCAGAAGUGGGCACCGUUGGAGAAUCGCAGCCCUGGCCCUGGGUCUGGUGGAGAGAGAUGGUGUGCUGAAGUUGGGAGCUGGGGCCAGGGCCCUGGGCCCAGCAUUGCCAGCCUUGGCUCAGAUGGGCGUCUUUGUCUUCUUGACCCCCGGGAUCUCUGCCAUCCUGUGAGCUCAGUCCAGUGCCCAGUAUCCGUACCUAGCCCUGACCCAGAGCUGCUGCGAGUGACUUGGGCCCCAGGCCUGAAGAAUUGCUUGGCCAUCUCAGGUUUUGAUGGUACAGUCCAGGUCUAUGAUGCCACAUCUUGGGAUGGAACACGGAGCCAAGAUGGAACACGGAGCCAAGUAGAACCUCUCUUCACUCACAGAGGUCACAUCUUCCUAGAUGGAAAUGGGAUGGACCCUGCUCCUUUGGUCACCACCCACACCUGGCAUCCCUGCAGACCAAGGACUUUGUUAUCAGCAACAAAUGAUGCCUCUCUGCAUGUGUGGGACUGGGUGGACCUUUGUGCCCCCCGCUGACACCAGCAUCUUUCCAUCUAGGCCUCUAGAAAGGGGAGGAGCUGCUGUAGUAGCAAGGGUGCUCAUGUAGGACUCAAGUGACUACCAGUCCCUGUUACCAGCUGUGUGGCCUUGGGCAAGUCUGCCAGCGUCACUUAGCCUCAGUUUCCUUAUCUGUAAAAUGAGGAUAGUAAGAACUACCUCGUAGUGAUAUUGCGAAGGUUAGAAGAAACGCAUGGCAUAAUUACUUGGUAGCUAUUGUUAGAUCUGGGAGUGUGAAAUGGUAGCGUUUUGUCCCUGUCUUCACACUAUCAUAGGGAGAAUCAAAAGAGCUAACAAAUAUAAACAUGCUUUGUGAAUUUUUUUAAAGAAAAAAAUGUAGAGGGGCCAAUAAACAUGAAAAAAUCCCAGCCCUAGUAGCAAUUAAGGAAAUAGCAAAACAGGAUUUCUGCUCCUCUUGAGUGGGUCUCAUGGGAACACAGGUGCACUUUCCCACACUUGUCCCCCCAGGUGACUAGGUUCAAGAGACAUUUGCUUUUGGUGGCCCCACAAACAUUUCCUUUUGAGGGCCCAUAGUGAAUAUUAAAGUGUGCUGGACAUGGUGGCUCAUGCCUGUAAUCCCAGCACUUUCAGAGGCUGAGGUGGGCAGAUUGCUUGAGCUGAGGAGUUUGAGACCAGCCUGGGCAACAUAGCAAGAUCCCUUCCCUUAAAAAAAAAAAAAAAUUUGGCUGGGCAUGGUGGCUCAUGCCUGUAAUCCCAGCAAUGUAGGCAGCCAAGACAGGUGGAUCACUUGAGUCCAGGAGUUCGAGACUAGCCUGAGCAACAUGGCGAAACCUUGUCUCUACUAAAAAUACAAGUUAGCUGGUUGUGGUGGUAUGAGCCUGCAGUCCCAGCUAUUCAAGAGGCUGAGGUGGGAGGGUUGCCUGAGCCUGGCAGUUGAAGUUUGCAGUGAGCUGUGAUCAUGCCACUGUAUUCCAGCCUGGGCAACAGAAUGAGACCCUGUUACACACACACACACAAAAUAGAUAAGUUGUUCACUCUGUCAGCAUCUAUUAGCCCUUCCCAUGUGCAACACUAAUUACAUGCUAGAAAUACAUAAAUGAGAGGCUUCCUAAGGUGGUUGAAUUUUUUUUUUUUUUUUUUUUGUAGUAGAGAUGGAGUCUUGCUCUGUCACCCAGGCUUGAGUGCAGUGGCGUGAUCUCGGCUCACUGCAACCUCCACCUCAUGGGUUCAAGCAAUGCUCCUGCCUCAGCCUGCCAAGUAGCUGGGAUUACAGGCACGUACCACCAUGCCCAGGUAAUUUUUGUAUUUUUGGUACAGACGGAGUUUCACCAUGUUGGCCAGAAUGGUCUUGAUCUCUUGACCUUGUGAUCUACCCACCUCGGCCUCCCGAAGAGCUGGGAUUACAGGUGUGAGCCACCGCGCCCGGCCAGGGGAUUUCUCCUGUGUGAAUUCGCUGGUUAAGUGAUAAUUAACUGCAGUUAAAAUUCAGGUCAAGCAUGUGGCUCAUGUCUGUAAUCCCAGUACUUUGGGAGGCUGAGGUGGGAGGAUAGCUUGAGUCCAGGAGGAGUUCGAGAUCAGCCUGGGCACCAUGGUGAACCCCUGUCUCUAAAAAAAAAGAAAGAUUUUUAUUUAAAAAACCUAAACAAAUUCAGAUAGGAAUUUAAAGAUAGACCAGGCACAGUGGCUCACGCCUGUAAUCCCAGCACUUUGUGGGGGGCCAAGGUGGGUGGAUCACUUGAGGUCAGGAGUUCAAGACCAGCCUGGCCAACAUGGUGAAACCCCGUCUCUACUAAAAAUAUAAAAAUUAGAGACGGGCAUGGUGGUGGCACACCUGUAAUCCCCACUACUCAGGAGGGUGAGGCAGGAGAAUUGCUUGAACCUGAGAGGUAGAGGCUGCAGUGAACCGAGAUUGUGCCACUGCAUUCCAGCCUGGGUGACAGGGUGAGACUCCAUCUCAAAAAAAAUAAAAUAAAGAUAAAAUCAUAAACACUCA
rnacentral:lncRNA from 1 species